AAGACAGGAGUGUUUAUGGUUGGGUUGAGACACAUUCAGGAGCUGAGUGAUUGACAGCAAGAGGAAAAAGACAUGAGGUUAAUAAUUAUCAAAUAUAUGGCAAUGCUGGACUUUAGCUGAUCAUCAUGCUUCUGGAAAAUAACAAAAGUUGAGACAUCUGUUCACCAUUUUGUGUGUUGAAGGACCACCUACUUUUUACAUAUGACAAGAACUACUCACCUCCACUCUUCAGGAUAGAACAUGCUGAAGAAAAGAGUUAUAACGAGAAAAUAUAUGGGAACAAAAUACCUAUGCAAUGCAAAAGUCCGCAUAACUAAACCACUCAGAGUAGAGGACAAAAAUUGCCAUUUCAGGACACCUCCUACAUCUGAGGAAACAUGUAUUGAUCUUGCAGUACUUUUCUCCUCCAAAUAAAAGCCAGUAUGAUAACAA